rnacentral:rRNA from 1 species
AUCCGUAAGAGAUCAGCUUGUACAGUAUCAGUUAGUUGGUGGGGUAAUGGCUUACCAAGACUAUGACGCUUAACUGGUUUGAGAGGAUGAUCAGUCACACUGGAACUGAGACACGGUCCAGACUCCUACGGGAGGCAGCAGUGGGGAAUAUUGCACAAUGGACGAAAGUCUGAUGCAGCAACACCGCGUGGAGGAUGACACAUUUCGGUGCGUAAACUCCUUUUAUAUGAGAAGAUAAUGACGGUAUCAUAUGAAUAAGCACCGGCUAACUCCGUGCCAGCAGCCGCGGUAAUACGGGGGGUGCAAGCGUUACUCGGAAUCACUGGGCGUAAAGAGCAUGUAGGCGGAUUGAUAAGUUUGAAGUGAAAUCCUAUAGCUUAACUAUAGAACUGCUUUGAAAACUGUUAAUCUAGAAUGUGGGAGAGGUAGAUGGAAUUUCUGGUGUAGGGGUAAAAUCCGUAGAGAUCAGAAGGAAUACCGAUUGCGAAGGCGAUCUACUGGAACACUAUUGACGCUGAGAUGCGAAAGCGUGGGGAGCAAACGGGAUUAGAUACCCCGGUAGUCCACGCCCUAAACGAUGCACACUAGUUGUUGUGAGGCUAGACCUUGCAGUAAUGCAGUUAACACAU